UCCUCGGCCGCAUUUUCUGCCGCGUCCUUCUCUAAAAUAGUCUUAAUCUUCUUUCCCCACUUCGUCUGUACCAUUAUUGAAUUUCCAGCUCUUUUGUUUGCUUCUCUUUAUCACUCGGAGAAAGGUGAACUGUCGUGUUACCCUUUUUUUUGUUUUGUUUUGUUUUGUUUUUAUUUGGUCUUUGCUCUUAAUUGUAGUUUUUACCCUUGUGGUCCCUGAUGGCUUCGCACAGUGAUACUCUGGUGGUAUUCUUUGGGGCAACAGCUGGUGCAAAUGGGGGUAAACUGGGGUCGGAUGAGAGGGAAAUAAUUCUGUUGGUGUGGCAAAUUGUGGAUCUACAUGAGAAAAAGGUGGGGAAACUUCAGCAGCGCCUGAUAAAACCAGACACUUUGGAAUUAACAGAUCAGUGUAAAGAGGAGACAGGAUUGAGUGUGGACGAACUUUGUAAAGCCGAGCCUCUGGACACGGUUCUUCAGCAGUACCAGCAGGCCGUAUCAGCAGAACUUAAAGCUCUGGGCAGAAGCUCCUACACGCUGUGUGUGGACGGACCCCUCCUCAUCCGACAGGCCCUUCACCCUGAGGCAUCCAAAAAGAAUUUGGUCCUGCCAGAUUGCUUUUACUCAUUUGUGGAUUUAAAAAGAGAGUUUCACAAAUGCUGUCCCAACGCCGGUCCAGUGAAAGAGCUCACCCUUCCCUCGAUGCUCGAAUAUUUGUGCCUUCCAGCGGUAAGCGAGCAGAGGGCUGGAGUGAGGGAGCUGAAGAGCAUGGUGAUGAUCAUCCAGCACAUCCUGGCUGAGCCAUACAGUCACGAAUUUUCCUCGUUUGAGACGGUGAAGCACAAGCUUGAAUCUGGAGCUUGCAGUAAGACAGAAGCCGUGGACAGCGAGACCGUGAUCAGAGCCCGGGGGUUGCCAUGGCAAUCUUCAGACCAGGACAUCGCUCGCUUCUUUAAGGGCCUUAACAUUGCCAAAGGUGGCGUAGCACUGUGUUUGAAUGCUCAGGGUCGCAGGAAUGGAGAGGCCCUGGUGCGCUUUAUAAACUCCGAACACAGAGACAUGGCGCUGGAGCGACACAAACACCACAUGGGCAGUAGAUACAUUGAGGUGUAUAAAGCAACUGGAGAGGAGUUUCUAAAGAUUGCUGGAGGCACAUCGAACGAGGUGGCACAGUUCCUGUCUAAGGAGAAUCAGGUGAUCAUCCGCAUGCGGGGUCUGCCUUUUACUGCCACACAACAGGAUGUGCUGGGCUUCCUGGGCCCCGAGAGCCCUGUGACAGAUGGCACAGAGGGGCUGCUCUUCGUUAAGUAUCCUGAUGGAAGGCCCACGGGGGAUGCCUUUGUGCUGUUUGCCUGUGAGGAAUAUGCCCAGAACGCUCUGAAAAAGCAUAAACAGAUUCUAGGGAAGCGGUACAUCGAGCUGUUCCGCAGUACAGCUGCAGAGGUCCAGCAGGUGCUGAACCGUUACAUGUCCACUCCACUGAUAUCGACACUUCCUCCUCCUCCUUCCAUGCUUCCUGUUCCUGUGCUGGCUGCUCCUCCCUUCAUCACCACCGGCAGCACGAGGGACUGUGUGCGGCUGCGUGGUUUGCCGUACACUGCCACCAUCGAGGACAUCCUGGAGUUUAUGGGAGAGCACACCAUAGACAUUAAACCCCACGGUGUUCAUAUGGUGCUCAAUCAGCAGGGUCGUCCAUCCGGUGAUGCUUUCAUUCAGAUGAAAGCAUCUGAUCGUGCCUUUAUGGUGGCACAGAAGUGUCACAAGAAGAUGAUGAAGGAUCGUUAUGUAGAGGUGUUCCAGUGCUCCACUGAAGAGAUGAGCUUUGUGCUGAUGGGAGGGACUCUGAACCGUAGUGGCUUGUCCCCUCCUCCAUGCAAACUGCCCUGCCUCUCACCACCGACCUACGCCGCAUUUCCAGCUCCAGCUGCUAUGCUUUCCACCGAGGCAGCCCUGUAUCAGCCCCCCCUGCUGGCCACUCCGAGAACUCCACAGGCCCCUACACACAGCCCUGCUCCAGCACUUGCAUACUAUUCCCCUCAGCCCCAGCUGUAUAUGAACAUGAACAUGAACUACACUGCGUAUUACCCCAGUCCUCCAGUGUCCCCAUCCACAAUGAGUUACUUUGCGGCACCUCCAGGCUCGAUAGCAGCUCAGCUUGCUCCUGCGACUCUGCCUCAGCACGGUGCUCUGGUGCGCAUGCAGGGACUGCCUUAUAACGCUGGGGUUAAAGACAUCCUCAGCUUCUUCCAGGGUUACCAGUAGGCGGAGUCUUCAACUGAUGGUAUGAACUUCAGCCGUAAGGAGCAGGGUGGACAAGGGGGUUGAUUUUGAGGGGGAAAUAACUGGCUGGUGCUUUUAUGUUGGGAUUGUGGUGUUUGUGUGCUUUUUCAUCCUGGUAACGUAGCAGGGUGAAAGUAAAUGGAACUGAUGUGCCACAUUAGUUUCAUUCCCAAGACCUAAGCUAAAAGGUGAGGGUGUGUUCAGAGCUAGCGCACGCUGUGGAACAAACUGCUCUCUGCUCGGGUCUCGGCUAUCCAAGAGCCAGAGAUCACAAUUGGGGGGGAAAAAGUGAAUACAGCUUUUGACACCUGGCUGAACCACUGAAAUGAAACGCUGCCCGCUCACCCUCCAAAUAUGUGCUUUUAGCUGCUCAGAUGGAGCUUGUGUGUGUGUGUGUGUGUGUGUGUGUCUUUGGGAAGAAUGUUUCCUUUGGGUGGGAUUUUUUUUUUGUUCCUUUUUUCUCUCCAUACUUAUGUACGUGUGGCUCAGUUGGAAGCGGAAAUUGAGUUUUGUGUGUGCAUGUGUGUUUAGAUUUAGUUUUGCUGUGCUUCUGUGGAAAAGAUUUGAUUUUUCAGGAUCUAUUUCAGGAAGUGUGACUUUUUUUUUUUUUGUCUGUGAUUUAUUAUUAUUUUUUUCCUCCCAGGCAGAAUCGCAAGCUGACGACCAAAAAAAAAAAUUACACCACCAAUUACUUGAACAGAGAUUAAACUGAUCUGUGUAGUUUUCCUUCACAGUUAGGAAGCUAAUUCACUAGCAUGUGGUGUUUCUAAUGCUAGAACGGAUCAUCGCUCAUUUCUAUAGGAGAAGGAAGAAUGUGCACAGUCAUAAUAAGCAUCUUCCUCCUCAGAAAGAUAAGAUGAUGCUCACUUAUUCUGUUCCGAAUACCAUAAACUGCCGAAAUCAUCUGAUUCAGAUUUAUCAAGAUGAAUUUGGUGCGAAAAGAAAUGAUCGACAACCAGAUGUUCGUCAGUAUUUUUUUUCCUAUUCAUAUUAAUUAUCUUGUCCUAAGGUAAAGUUUGUGUUUGAAGCUAGUUCUAGACAAAUUACCAGUUUAAAUGUUGAUAUUUAUCUUUGUGUGGUUCUUUUUAUUUUUUAAACAGUGUUUAUUUUUGAUAUUGGGGUUUUGGACAAACUAAGUUCACUAGUAAAUGUGUGUAGUAGGGGGCGGAUUCAGGAUUAAAAGUACUGCACAAUUGUAUUAACUGAUUGGCCAUGAUGUAGUGGGGUGUGUGUGAUGAGGCUGUGCCACUGACUAUGGGCUGUUGUGCUGUAGUACGCUCCUGAGGACUACAGCAGUGUGAUGGGAAUGAGCGAUCAGGCCCGUGCUCUGGUCCAGCCCAAAGAGUGGCUCUGCCUGUAGGGGGCGCUCCUCCAGCUCCAGGCGGACUCCGUGCUCGUCUUGUAUAACCUGAGUGGCCAGCGGAGCGGGGAGGCGCUAGUCACCUUCCCCAGCGAGGAGGCAGCGAGGCGCGCUGUGGCCGAGCGCUCCAACCUUCCCCUCUCUGGCCACCCUGUCCGCCUGAUGUGCUGCGAAUGAGGUAAACACUCACCACUUGAAGCCGACUCCAGGAACGAGCGAGGUCUGCACUUCACCAGGAUAACCUCUGCCUCCUCCCGAUACUGGUCUUAUCCAGGCACACUGGGAGCCUUUCCUCAAUUUCUAACAUGCUACUGCUGGUGGAGGUGCUAGCAUGGUGGAAAUACCUGAACUCUAUGUACAUAUGUAUUUAUACAUCAAAUACAAUGCCUUGUGUAUAAAUCAGUGUGGAGAAUUGAUGAUAGAUAGAUAUAUAUGUUCUUAGUUGUGGUGUUCAUGCAGAAUAGCCUAAAUGUUAAAUCCCUUUUGCUUUUCCUGUGGGAGAAAUCCCACACUGAGGAUUCACUGUGUUUUUACUCAAAGACAGUGCAAUAUACAAAGGCUAAGCCAUACAGCCUGCAUGUGUGACGCAAGAAAGGAAUUAAAAAAAAAAACUACUGACACUUGUUUAAUGCCACUACUGAAUGUUUCUAAAACGCCAAUCUAAGCCUCAUCUUAGUGACUGCUGCAUGGAAGAUUAUUUUUGUCAUUGUAAUUCAUAUUAAUUAUUGUGUAACAGACAAGACCGGGACCGUGUGUCCCUUCAUCUGCUCGAACUUCUUAGUUUAACCCGAA